UGACGCGUCAGACGGGACGAACGGGGGAAGUCGGUCCAGAGUCACUGCGCCGCGCGGUUGUGUGAGCAAGCCGUGGGCUAGGUACCGCUCCAGGUCAGACAAUGGUUGGCACUGAAGAGUGCGGUGACACUACAGAGCUGUGAACGAAGACGGUGAACGGCGAGAUGUGGUGACCGCUUGACUGACCUGUGCCCAAAGUCGUGAUCUACCGCUGGGGUCAGUGCGUGAGAAGCUGGACUCGGCAACAACGGAGGACGCAGAUCGACGAGGAAGAUAUGCUGUGUUGAGGGACGUCUGCCGGUUACGACCGGAAGGCUUCCGACGGUCUUGGCAGAACCCACAACAGCAGUAUGAACCCGGCGUGGAGUUAAUGCGUAAUUGCUCGCAUGAGCAACCGAAGAGCGACUUCCAGGCGAAGCUGCCGCAGAAUUCCUGGAGAUGCGCUGGGACAUGGAUCAUAGCAAGGUGGCUCUCAGCGGCAGCUGACCGCUGAGAUGUGUCUGAAACAGCCAGAAGGAAGACUCGAGUUGUGGAUCCAGGGCACUACUGAACGGAAGGCCGGACCAGCUGUAGGGAGACUACAGAAAAGCCUUCGUUCUCAAUCUGCUGAACAGACUCCUACUGCAGAGGAUCAACUGGGGUUCGACGUGUUAGAACUGGGGUUAGACCGGUUACCAGUGCUCGUGUUCGUCACCUGUUGUUUGUCACUGCUGCGCUGCUGCUGUAAUGUUUGCCACCUGCUAAGCGUUCACAAUGUAUUUUAAGUGAAUAAUAACUUUUUUAGUGUUUGUCUUGAUUUGUAACGAGUAUAUCAAUUAUCAAGCAUGUUAACCUUUCAUCAAAUGAAGGACUCCACAUAAAAAUAGUAUAGGCUGUGGUAGUACAGACACAUACCAUGCUUGGCCGACUGUUGUGUAUUGAUCUAGUCGUUGAAGCGUCCUGAAAGUCUGGAAAUAAACAGGCAUGGCCAAAUGGAUUGG
rnacentral:lncRNA from 1 species